CAUUGAGUAGAUAGAUAUUGAAGGUUUUUCUGUGGAUACAACAAAAUCACCAUUGUCUUUCAGUAUAGGUAGAGCUCUCCCUCAUAUAACUGAUGUUUCCUGGCGAUUGGAAUAUCAGAUAAAGGUAAAGAUAACAAGCUCUUCUGUAGAGGGAUUUGAGGGGCUUCCUUUAGGUUAAAGACUGUUGUUUUGUGUUGUUUUAGACCAACCAACUUCAUAAGAUGUGUCGACCUGGAUAUUUAGUGACCUUAAACGUAGAGAACGCUGAUUCCCAAUCCUACCCAGAGAUUAGUUUUAGCUGCAGCAUGGAGCAGUUACAGGAUUUGGUGGGGAAACUUAAGGAUGCUUCAAAAAGCCUGGAAAGAGCAACUCAGUUGUAACUUGGGGAAGCUGAUGACCCAGGAGCCUAGAGGAAAACCAGACGCGCCAUGUCUCCUGCAGGACCUUCGAUCGUGCGAGCUGGAUGUCAUUUUCAGUAGAAAAAGAGCUCCCUUUUGAAGUUAUGCCAGCCAUCAGUUUUGACACUUUUUUUAAACACAUGUGAAAUGGUUAAGAGGGAAACUCUUACGCAUUUGAAUUUUCAAUAUUAAUCUUGCAUUCCUUCUAUGUUGAACGCUUUCAAGCCCUAUCAAAGUAUCGUACCCUGAAUAAAUAAGGUGGUAUUCCCAC
rnacentral:lncRNA from 1 species